rnacentral:rRNA from 1 species
AUUGAACGCUGGCGGCAGGCCUAGCACAUGCAAGUCGAGCGGGGUUUUCGGACCUAGCGGCGGACGGGUGAGUAAUGCGUAGGAAGCUGCCCGAUAGAGGGGGAUACCAGUUGGAAACGACUGUUAAUACCGCAUAAUGUCUACGGACCAAAGUGUGGGACCUUCGGGCCACAUGCUAUCGGAUGCGCCUACGUGGGAUUAGCUAGUUGGUGAGGUAAUGGCUCACCAAGGCGACGAUCUCUAGCUGGUUCGAGAGGAUGAUCAGCCACACUGGAACUGAGACACGGUCCAGACUCCUACGGGAGGCAGCAGUGGGGAAUAUUGGACAAUGGGCGCAAGCCUGAUCCAGCCAUGCCGCGUGUGUGAAGAGGGCCUUCGGGUUGUAAAGCACUUUCAGCGAGGAGGAAGGGUGGUGUGUUAAUAGCACAUCAUUUUGACGUUACUCGCAGAAGAAGCACCGGCUAACUCUGUGCCAGCCGCCGCCGUAAUAC